GAUGAACGCUAGCGGCAGGCUUAAUACAUGCAAGUCGAGGGACAGCACAGGUAGCAAUACUGGGUGGUAACCGGCAAACGGGUGCGGAACACGUACACAACCUUCCUUUAAGUGGGGGAUAGCCCAGAGAAAUUUGGAUUAAUACCCCGUAAUAUAGCGAUGUGGCAUCACAUUGCUAUUAUAGCUACGGCGCUUAAUGAUGGGUGUGCGGCUGAUUAGAUAGUUGGCGGGGUAACGGCCCACCAAGUCUACGAUCAGUAGCUGAUGUGAGACCAUGAUCAGCCACACAGGCACUGAGACACGGGCCCGACUCCUACGGGCGGCAGCAGUAAGGAAUAUUGGUCAAUGGACGCAAGUCUGAACCAGCCCUGCCGCGUGAAGGAUUAAGGUCCUCUGGAUUGUAACCUUCUUUUAUUUGGGACGAAAAAGGGUCUUUCUAGAUCAGCUGACGGUACCAGAUGAAUAAGCACCGGCUAACUCCGUGCCAGCCGCCGCGGUAAUAC
rnacentral:rRNA from 1 species